rnacentral:rRNA from 1 species
GACGAACGCUGGCGGCGUGCUUAACACAUGCAAGUCGAACGGAAAGGCCCUGCUUUCGUGGGGUGCUCGAGUGGCGAACGGGUGAGUCACACGUGAGUAACCUGCCCUUGACUUUGGGAUAACUUCAGGAAACUGGGGCUAAUACCGGAUAGGAGCUCCUGCUGCAUGGUGGGGGUUGGAAAGUUUCGGCGGUUGGGGAUGGACUCGCGGCUUAUCAGCUUGUUGGUGGGGUAGUGGCUUACCAAGGCUUUGACGGGUAGCCGGCCUGAGAGGGUGACCGGCCACAUUGGGACUGAGAUGCGGCCCAGACUCCUACGGGAGGCAGCAGUGGGGAAUAUUGCACAAUGGGCGGAAGCCUGAUGCAGCAACGCCGCGUGCGGGAUGACGGCCUUCGGGUUGUAAACCGCUUUCGCCUGUGACGAAGCGUGAGUGACGGUAAUGGGUAAAGAAGCACCGGCUAACUACGUG